GUGGUUCUGGCUCAGAGGUAGAGUGCUUGCCUGGCACGUGUGAGGCACUGGGUUCGAUCCUCAACACCACA
rnacentral:tRNA from 1 species